rnacentral:tRNA from 114 species
GCCGUUGUAGCUCAGUUGGUUAGAGCACCAGAUUGUGGAUCUGGGGGUCGCUGGUUCGAGCCCAGCCAACGGUACCA